rnacentral:rRNA from 1 species
CCUACGGGAGGCAGCAGUAAGGAAUAUUGGUCAAUGGGCGCAAGCCUGAACCAGCCAUGCCGCGUGCAGGAAGACGGCCCUAUGGGUUGUAAACUGCUUUUGUCAGGGAAUAAACCCCCGCUCGUGAGCGGGGCUGAAGGUACCUGAAGAAUAAGCAUCGGCUAACUCCGUGCCAGCAGCCGCGGUAAUACGGAGGAUGCAAGCGUUAUCCGGAUUCAUUGGGUUUAAAGGGUGCGCAGGCGGAUUGGUAAGUCAGGGGUGAAAUCCCACAGCUCAACUGUGGAACUGCCUUUGAUACUGUCAGUCUAGAGUAUAGUUGAAGUUGGCGGAAUGUGUCAUGUAGCGGUGAAAUGCUUAGAUAUGACACAGAACACCGAUCGCGAAGGCAGCUAGCUAAGCUAUAACUGACGCUCAUGCACGAAAGCGUGGGGAUCAAACAG